rnacentral:rRNA from 1 species
AUUGAACGCUGGCGGCAGGCUUAACACAUGCAAGUCGAGCGAGCGGCGGACGGGUGAGUAAUGUCUGGGAAACUGCCCGAUGGAGGGGGAUAACUACUGGAAACGGUAGCUAAUACCGCAUACCAUCAGAUGUGCCCAGAGUGGAUUAGCUAGUAGGUGGGGUAAUGGCUCACCUAGGCGACGAUCCCUAGCUGGUCUGAGAGGAUGACGAGCCACACUGGAACUGAAGCCCGGGCCAGACACCAAGGGGGGGCAGCGGUGGGGAAUAUUGCACAAGGGGCGCAGGCCUGAGACAGCCAUGCCGCGGGUGGGAAGAAGGCCUUCGGGUUGUAAAGCACUUUCAGCGAGGAGGCGUUACUCGCAUAGGAAGCACCGGCUAACUCCGUGCCAGCAGCCGCGGUAAUAC